rnacentral:RNase_P_RNA from 1 species
UGAAGUAGGUGAGGUGAUCGCUCCUCCGAUUUCGAGGAGGGGAGGAAAGUCCGAACUCCACAGGGCAGGGUGGUCGCUAACGGCGACUCGNNNNNNNNNNNNNGUGACUGGGGUAGCUCGGCAAACCCCACCCGGAGCAAGACCAAAUAGGGGAGGAUUCAGAUGAGAGAUGUGAGGGUGAGCAUGGGAGGUUUUCUCCUCACAUCUCAACUCUCGAUCUCAAAACUGAAAAUGGUGGCCCGCCAGAGCCUCCCGGGUAGGUCGCUCGAGCCAUUCAGCAAUGGAUGGCCCAGAUGAAUGAUCACCGCCCCGUGGGGAGCAAUCCCCAUGGGGGACAGAAUUCGGCUUAUUGUCUGCUUCAGCCC